AUGUGGCCCCUCAAGCAAGCGAUUGCUUGAUGAUAAUCGGGUGAAUUCGGGGAAACCAUGAAUAGAUACGAGAAAUUUAUUUCACACCUCAAGAAAAAAGAACCAGCUAUUCGCAACAGUAGUCUCUCCCUUCAGAAGCAUAGGAUUAUACCUGGGCACUCUGGGGGCGAUUACUCUGAAGCGAACGUUGUCAUCUGCUCUAUUGAGGAUCACAUAAAAGCCCAUCGUAUUAGAUAUGAGGUUUAUGGUGAGCGUGGAGAUAAAUUUGCCGUCUCUAUGAUGACUGGAAGGCUCAGAAUUGGUGACAAGGUUGUAGCAACCUUGGGAGCUUAUUCUACGCACGAGGUAUGCAAAGAAAAUAAAACCGGAUUUUGGUCCUCUGAGACCCAAAGGAAAAAUGCCUUAAAGGGGGAUACUCCUGAAGUUCUUCAAAAGAAGUCUGAAGGGGGUAAGAGGGGGAACGAAGUCAUCCGUAAAUUGGGAAUUGGGGCUUAUGCUCCAGGACAAACCCAAAAGUCUGGAAGGGCCAGCGCCCUAAAACGCUGGGGUAUCCCUUCUGACCUAUAUGGUAGAAUCUACUUCUCUGCUGAACAGAGAGUUUCUAUCAGUGAGACUUUCUUUGACUACUAUGUGGCCUUUGGAAAUCCAUGGCAAUCCCGAGCCAAGCCGCAGGCGCUCCUGCGGAAGGUGUAGAGACUAGCCGGUGUGAUUAGCGAAUCACGUAAUACGGCACCAGCGCCCGACACCUCUCAGAGGUGAUGAUAUAGUCCAAAUGACAAUUGCA
rnacentral:autocatalytically_spliced_intron from 1 species